rnacentral:rRNA from 1 species
AUUGAACGCUGGCGGCAUGCCUUACACAUGCAAGUCGAACGGCAGCGCGGACUUCGGUCUGGCGGCGAGUGGCGAACGGGUGAGUAAUACAUCGGAACGUACCCUGUUGUGGGGGAUAACUAGUCUAAAGAUUAGCUAAUACCGCAUACGACCUGAGGGUGAAAGUGGGGGAACGCAAGGCCUAACGCAGCAGGAGCGGGCGGUGUCUGAUUAGCUAGUUGGUGGGGUAAAGGCCCACCAAGGCGACGAUCAGUAGCUGGUCUGAGAGGACGAUCAGCCACACUGGGACUGAGACACGGCCCAGACUCCUACGGGAGGCAGCAGUGGGGAAUUUUGGACAAUGGGGGCAACCCUGAUCCAGCAAUGCCGCGUGUGUGAAGAAGGCCUUCGGGUUGUAAAGCACUUUUGUCCGGAAAGAAAUCGCGCUGGUUAAUACCUGGCGUGGAUGACGGUACCGGAAGAAUAAGCACCGGCUAACUACGUGCCAGCCGCCGCGGUAA